rnacentral:rRNA from 1 species
AUACGUAGGGAGCAAGCGUUGUCCGGAUUUACUGGGUGUAAAGGGUGCGUAGGCGGCUUUUUAAGUCGGGCGUGAAAGCUGUGGGCUUAACCCACAAAUUGCGUUCGAAACUGGAAGGCUUGAGUGAAGUAGAGGUAGGCGGAAUUCCCGGUGUAGCGGUGAAAUGCGUAGAGAUCGGGAGGAACACCAGUGGCGAAGGCGGCCUACUGGGCUUUAACUGACGCUGAGGCACGAAAGCAUGGGUAGCAAACAGGAUUAGAUACCCUGGUAGUCCAUGCCGUAAACGAUGAUUACUAGGUGUGGGGGGUCUGACCCCUUCCGUGCCGGAGUUAACACAAUAAGUAAUCCACCUGGGGAGUACGGCCGCAAGGUUGA